CCUACGGGAGGCAGCAGUGAGGAAUAUUGGUCAAUGGACGAGAGUCUGAACCAGCCAAGUAGCGUGAAGGAUGACUGCCCUAUGGGUUGUAACCUUCUUUUUUAAAGGAAUAAAACGAGGCACGUGUGCCUUUUUGCAUGUACUUUAUGAAUAAGGAUCGGCUAACCCCGUGCCAGCAGCCGCGGUACUACGGAGGAUCCGAGCGUUUUCCGGGUUUUUUGGGUUUAAAGGGAGCGGAGAUGGGUAGUUAAGUCAGUUGUGAAAGUUUGCGGCUCAAACGUAAAAUUGCAAUUGAUACUGGCAGUCUUGAGUACAGUUGAGGUAGGCGGAAUUCGUGGUGUAGCGGUGAAAUGCUUAGAUAUCACGAAGAACCCCGAUUGCGAAGGCAGCUUACUAAACUGUGACUGACAUUGAUGCUCGAAAGUGUGGGUAUCAAACAGGAUUAGAUACCCUUGUAGUC
rnacentral:rRNA from 1 species